ACAUGCAUAUUUCAUUAGAUUUCUUGACAGCGUUGAGGCUUAUCCAGAGCAAAGGGCAAUGGCUGCAUUUGUCUUGGCAGUAACUGCUGAUGGUCACAGACGGGGUCAGGAGGCGUGUAUUGAAGUGGGGCUUAUUAAUGUCUGCUUGAAGCAUCUUCAGGGAUCAACGCCUAAUGAGGCACAAACUGAACCACUUUUUCUUCAAUGGCUGUGCCUUUGUCUGGGAAAACUGUGGGAGGAUUUCACAGAGGCACAAGUACUAGGUUUGCAGGCAGAUGCACCAGCAAUAUUUGCACCGCUGCUGUCUGAGCCCCAACCUGAGGUGCGCGCUGCAGCUACUUUUGCUCUAGGGACUUUACUUGAUGUUGGAUUUGACUCAGCUAGGGAUGGUGUUGGAGGAGAUGACGACUGUGAUGAUGAGGAGAAGGUUAGGACUGAAG
rnacentral:misc_RNA from 1 species